AUUGACAUCCAUAAAAUGUGAGCUCCAAGGAGGCCAAGACAUCUGUUUGGGUCAUCUCUGCAUCUCUGGCACUUGGCACACAGUCAGUGCUCAAGAAAAUAUUUGUUGAGUGAACAAAUUAAGAAAUGGGCAGCCUGUGGAAAGCAGUGUGUCUGAGCUAACCAUCUAGAGUGGCAACAUUGGCUGACUGCUGGCUUCUGCUGUGGUGACUGUAGCUUUGUUUUUUUUUUUUUCUUCUGAGAAUCCCAACUGCCUGUCUCUCCAUGCCAAAGCCUUGUGUCUGACACUGAGCCACCAGAAUAUUCCUGUCAUUCCCUGAACAAUGUUCUGAUGGGGCUGACAAGGAGGGAGCUGUGCAAGUUUGAGAUGUGAUGCCUGCAGAGGGCGGCUUUGACAGGCCGUGCCUUUGUACAGUUGGGGAAACCAAACUACUGAGAAGUACAGACCUUCUGACCAGGAUCACACCCGUAGCUGGGAUUUGAAUCCAGGAUGUGACUAUAGAGUCUAGAUUCUUAACUGUCAACUGCUGAUUCUCUUCAGAUGUGUUGAUUUUCUUGAACAUUGAACAACCACAUAGAAGAAGCCUACUAUGUAGCAGGCACCACAAGGCCUACCCUUCAAGGACUAUCAGACUUACAAAGACAUUCCUUCCACAGCCACCAAGUUGCAGGUGCUGCUAUGACACCAUCCUGACUUCCCCAGGCAGACGACCUCACCAACAUGUCCUGAAACCCCACCUCUCCAGAGCCCUGCCCUACUAGGGAAAGAAACAAACAGGCUUGGGGGUAAGGAUCCACCUGUCAACAUCCAUGUUCAGCAGAGAAGCAAUUACAGAAGCCAGAACUCCAACCUUCUGCACCCCAUAAAGAAUUUUGGUCCAUACU